rnacentral:rRNA from 1 species
GAUGAACGCUGGCGGCGUGCCUAAUACAUGCAAGUCGAGCGAACAGACGAGGAGCUUGCUCCUCUGACGUUAGCGGCGGACGGGUGAGUAACACGUGGAUAACCUACCUAUAAGACUGGGAUAACUUCGGGAAACCGGAGCUAAUACCGGAUAAUAUAUUGAACCGCAUGGUUCAAUAGUGAAAGACGGUUUUGCUUUCACUUAUAGAUGGAUCCACGCCGCAUUAGCUAGUUGGUAAGGUAACGGCUUACCAAGGCAACGAUGCGUAGCCGACCUGAGAGGGUGAUCGGCCACCCUGGAACUGAGACACGGUCCAGACUCCUACGGGAGGCAGCAGUAGGGAAUCUUCCGCAAUGGGCGAAAGCCUGACGGAGCAACGCCGCGUGAGUGAUGAAGGUCUUCGGAUCGUAAAACUCUGUUAUUAGGGAAGAACAAAUGUGUAAGUAACUAUGCACGUCUUGACGGUACCUAAUCAGAAAGCCACGGCUAACUACGUG